rnacentral:rRNA from 1 species
UGGGGGGGCCUUCGGGAGGCAGCAGUAGGGAAUCUUCCGCAAUGGGCGAAAGCCUGACGGAGCAACGCCGCGUGAGUGAUGAAGGUCUUCGGAUCGUAAAACUCUGUUAUUAGGGAAGAACAAAUGUGUAAGUAACUAUGCACGUCUUGACGGUACCUAAUCAGAAAGCCACGGCUAACUACGUGCCAGCAGCCGCGGUAAUACGUAGGUGGCAAGCGUUAUCCGGAAUUAUUGGGCGUAAAGCGCGCGUAGGCGGUUUUUUAAGUCUGAUGUGAAAGCCCACGGCUCAACCGUGGAGGGUCAUUGGAAACUGGAAAACUUGAGUGCAGAAGAGGAAAGUGGAAUUCCAUGUGUAGCGGUGAAAUGCGCAGAGAUAUGGAGGAACACCAGUGGCGAAGGCGACUUUCUGGUCUGUAACUGACGCUGAUGUGCGAAAGCGUGGGGAUCAAACAGGAUUAGAUACCCUGGUAGUCCACGCCGUAAACGAUGAGUGCUAAGUGUUAGGGGGUUUCCGCCCCUUAGUGCUGCAGCUAACGCAUAAGCACUCCGCCUGGAACUU